UUCUAUGGCCAUACCAUGCUGAACAUGCCCGAUCUCCUCUGAUCUCCGAAGCUAAGCAGGGUCUGGUCUGGUUAGUACUUGGAUGGGAGAAAUGCAGCAGAUUGUCUAAC
ensembl:rRNA 5S_rRNA 5S ribosomal RNA